UGUGUGGACGGCGAAGGUCAGGAGUUCCUCGCAAGUUGGUAAUCGGGCGGGCACAGCGCAAGGCCUUGGAGGUGUAUCAGGGUUACACGGAGCAGCC
rnacentral:SRP_RNA from 1 species